UAGGUUUUGCUAGAACUCAUCUAGCUAAAUUUUAGUUAUGCCUCAUUCACCCUUUUGGAACAAGUAAAAGAAGUAUUAGAGAGGACGUGAUGCUGAAAUCAUCAAAGGGGAAGAGCACAAAAUUGGACAUACCAAAUCAAAGAAAGAUUGAGUACAAAGUAUUCAGAGUAUUUCUACAUUCUUUCUGUCUUGUACACCGCUGGGAUAGUUUUUGGAUUCAGUACAAAGUAUUCAGAGUAUUUCUACAUUCUUUCUGUCUUGUACACCCCUGGGAUAGUUUUUGGAUUCAAUACAAACCAGCGGAUGUUCACCGGUAGAAAUGAACAUCUCCUACAUGGGUGAUGUGUUUUUGAAUAUGUGAGUGGUUUUAUUACCGGAAUGGGGUGUGAAACGAUAAAUCUUGGUUUUUCGUCGGCAUCUAUCCCUUUGCUCCAUCAAUUCGUAUGGGAUGCUUUUUUGUUUUUUGUUUUACCCAAUUAUAAUCCCCAUGACCAAUUACUUUAUCAUAAUUGUAUUGUAGUGCUGCUUGUUACGCGUGAAGUUAUUGCACAACUCUGAACGCAAAUUCAGCCUAGCUAGUUUAUUAGUUAUAGGGAGAGAAAUGAGUUCAUAUACUUCCUCCAUCACGGUUUAGAAGGCACGCUUGGAAAAUCUCUGACAUCAAGGUAGUCAUCGAUUGGUUGUGAGAUGUAGUAGGUGUAGAUGCUAAUGCGCCUAAUCAACUGAGAAAAUACUACUAUUAAUGCGUGAGCAGCAAAUUAGAAGGGCGCAUGCAUAAGUAGUAGUACUAGUACUAAUAAAUAGGAGUAAUUGCUUUCGCCCCUUAAACCUGGUCUAUUUUGAAAAAGCACGCAAGUUUAACUGUGUCUUUUAAACCGUGACGAAAGGAGUAGUUGAAUUAUCUAAUCUAUGCCCUCUGUGUUGAAGUUGUGUUGAGCCCGAUGUAGUGCUAAAGUGCUUGAGCCUAACCAAUUUAUAGCCGAUAUUGUGGCGGUAUUAUCGUUUAGGGCAACUCUAACGCACGAUCCUGUUAUAUCCGGCUUUGUUUAUAUGGGCUCAAACAGACAAACGGCAUGGUCCAACGCGUGACCGCAACUGAAAUUUUUGUCCGUUUAGUGACCGUGUGAUCCAAUUUGACGACACAUCCCAUAGUCACUCUCAUGCCUAGGUGGUAGAGUAGAAGGGAGAUGCACAUGGACGAACAUUUAAUAAGGUUUAUCCUACUCAUACUAUUAGAUUCUUAGUGCAUAUGGUUUUUGUCAUUGUUUUACCAGUUUUGAUUGAAACACACACGUCGAAUAAACAUUAUGGAAGCAUGAACAAGCUUUUGUGUCGCCACAUUUUAAUAGUCAGACCAGUGCGCCGGUUGUAAGAGGUGUAUUAUAUAUGAAACGGGGGACUGGGGGAGUUGUACGUGAACUGUACAAAUCUGGGUUCGAAUAGAAACUGGUGACAUCAGAGAAACAAAUGCAAUUUUGACCGCUGUUUUUUGUUGUAAUAUAUGUAUGUGUGAACCAUAAUUUUUCGAUCGAUGCUCUUUGAGAGAUGUUUCUUUUCUUUUGAUUUUCAAGUUUUACUUGAAAAUAAACAACAUCAGAGGUACACCGAUCCAAGACAUCAUUUUCUUCCAAACUGAAGGAAGUGCACGACUAACACUAAUAACACUGGUGGUUGUUUUUGCAGCAUGACCCCGUAGCAAAAAAUCCGUUAAACUUCCUCACACUUCAUUUUGGCCUUGUUUGUAAGGAAACAAAACCUUUAGGGCGGUAUGCACACAAAUGGUCGGGUCUUAGUUGCAAGAUUUUGUUAAUUUGCGUGGAUGGAAAAGGAGUUUUUUCUUUCUUUCUUUCUUGUUUGAAGGGAGUGAUGGAAAAGGAAUUCAUUCGUUGAGAAGAAGAACAUAGUCACGCUGGGCCGACAUAUUAGAAGGGGGACUUACGGCGAUUGUGCGAGAGAUAAGGUGCAUCCUGUAGUUCUAGUUCUACUUAUCCAUCGAUAAUUCCGAAUGCCUUCCAUGCCUAUGCAUAUCCAAUUCGAAUCUCUAAUAUGAGAGUCACAAACAACUAUUGAGCAGAAUGGUACUAGA
rnacentral:lncRNA from 1 species